CGCGACGUAGCUCAGCCGGAUAGAGCCCCCGUUUUCGACAGAUGGAUGUGGUCUUGGCGGACCCAUCUAUUAUGGGCGGGGAGGUCGCAGGUUCAAGUCCUGCCGUCGCACCCA
rnacentral:tRNA from 1 species